UUUCCGCCGGGGUCGGGUAAUAAAACUCCCCACCAGUCUACCCACACUUGCACCUUCCUCCGCCAUCACGUGCCAUGUGAGGUACAACGUGGGUAAACCCUGGAAUUAGCCGUCGUUAAUCGUGCUUAUUUCGUAACUCUACGAGCUUAGUUAGUUUCGGUGCCGCGGCGACGUGGCGUUCCCGCACGUGGACGAGUUGGAAGACCGGGCUUCGUGCAUGCGGGGCCGCUGGCGGUCCGCUCCGGUUCGGCCUGUCCUUUAUGGACCGUUCGACUCGGCCGGUUUCGGCGGCAAGGCGGACCGGUUCAGCUUGUGCACGUUACACUAGCGACGGGGAACUCCAGUGACGAGAAACGAAGGCCGUGCCUUUCGCUUUGUCGUUACUCUGCUCUGUGCUGCGUUCGACAGGGGAAACCUUCGUACGUGGUGUUCUCCUCGGUGGGAGGGCAGCCAUGCCUGAGAAGCGGAAGCGAGCACAGGUUUUGUCCGUCUCUCAUCGCAGGCUAGUAGAGCAAGUCAGGAAACAUGAUCUGAAGAAGUUUCAGAUGUGAGCUAGCAACGUCUGCUAGAUGUUCGAUAAUAUGUGCCAAAGAUCAGGAUACUGGAAGCAGCAAGCUUGAUGAGUUGCUGUUGGCACUGUGUGCUUGUGAUCUGAUAGUUUCGCGAGACCGACCCUUCGUCGUCGGCCUACAGAAGAGGACACAGUUCGCAGCAGAAGAUGUUUGGGAAGGUGAAUGUUUCCGCAUGCGUUGCAUUUUUGUUCUUUGACGGAUCUCUCAUAAUUCCAAAACCCAAUAUGCUGUGAUAAAAACAACACAUAGUAUUCUACCUGUAUUUUCUUGAGUAAAAAAAAGUAUGAUUGCUCCAUUCUCACACAUGAUUCAUCUGAUAGAAAUUAGAGAAAAGCUUUUUAAUUGCAUGAAAAGAAUCAUUAGUUUGGUGGAAUACCUUUAUAUGACCUUUAAUAUGUUAAAUUAACCUCUAGAUAUAUAGGGUGGUACUAUAACUAGUUGUAGCUUUCAUUUUUCUUUUAGAAGUUUGUGAGCGCAAAGUACAAUCCUUCCAUGCCUUGGACCAUAUUAAGACUUUGCACUUUAUUUUAGAAAGUUACAAUCAUGACAAAGCAUGCAUGUGUGUUGAAAGAAAAUACUGGUUAAGAUUUCUAAAUAGUUCUUCAUCUAUCAUUGUCAUAGAGUCAAUUUGACAACUACAAAGAAUGACACUAGGAAUGCUUUAGAGAUUCAAACUCAUGUGCAAGGAGCUAAAAAGUAUCUCCUAACCUAGACUAGAAUUGUACAAUGAAAGGAUAAUAAUCCUAAGGUCAUAAAAGAGUAGAUGUGAUGAGGUGGUAGACAUUUUAGUAUAUAUUCCUCUAAUUUUAAGUGUAUAAUAUAUAUAUAUAUAUAUAUAUAACCUGAAAACUUACAUAUAUGCUUUAUAGUUUAUCAUGAUCACUUGAUCACAGUUGACUAUCUAACGACGUUGAAACUCUAAUUGGUGCCAAAACAUCUGAUAAAUGUUUUUCCUCUUUUUUUAGGUAUCUAUCUUUCGUCCCUAAUGAUUGAAGGUUAAGGACAUUUUAAAUGUUAAUAUUCUUUUAACUUAAACUAUGUAUUGGUGGUCACAAUUAAUACCAGUUAGCAUGAGUUAUCUACAUGAGCAUUAACCAGAGGUAUAUACAUAAAGGAUCGUCAUAUUUGUGGGACAUAUAUGUUACAGAGGCAAAUACACUGCAUAUUUGUAAGAUAACAUGUCAAAAUCAUCCCCAUCAUUUUUUGUUGACUGAAAUCACUGUCUUUAUUUUUGGAGGGCCGUCAAGUACCAGUCAAUUGGAACAUGCUUUACACAUAAGAAAGUAACUUGGUUGUCUCUUUUCCUUGUAAGAUGGUUGAAGGCUGACUCUAUUCCCAUAUAUGAAGCUGAAAAGAAAAGCAGUACAUGGCAGACUUCAAGCUUAUAUCCGCAACGAGAUAAUGCAUCUUGGGUUGUUGCUAAAACAACAAAAAGCAGAUCUCAUGUGAGUUUGACCAUGGACUGUUCUUGCCCUGUGGCCACCACACCAUCCACUGCAGCAGUGGUGGCUUUUCAUAAGAUUCUACAGCAUCCAGAGUUCCAUGUGGAGCCCAGGCAUGGUGAUGUCUCUGAGGAGAUGUACAAUUUUUGUGUGGAAAGAUGGGGAAGGAAUGAUUCAAUGCUUGGUGAUUGUACUGGCCACCUUCCGAGGGCUCAAAGGACAGACAUCUGGUGGGUCAUCUUUCAGUGGACAGUAAUAUUCAGCAUAUAGUGAGACUUCUCUAGAAAUAUGAGUCCUAGUUUGCCCUGUUUGCUACUGUUUAGAUUGGUAAUGGUUUCAGUUGGAACCCACUUGGAACAAUGGAUAUUCAUAGAUACCAUGAUUUUUUUUCUCACACAAGAUGCAGAAAAAUAAAAAAAUUGCUCCUUUA